AGUGAACGCUGGCGGCAGGCCUAAUACAUGCAAGUCGAACGGCAGCACGGCAGAGCUUGCUCUGUGGGUGGCGAGUGGCGGACGGGUGAGGAAUACAUGGGAAUCUGCCCAGUCGUGGGGGAUAACGUAGGGAAACUUACGCUAAUACCGCAUGCGCCCUUCGGGGGAAAGCCGGGGACCUUCGGGCCUGGCGCGAUUGGAUGAGCCCAUGUCGGAUUAGCUAGUUGGCGGGGUAAUGGCCCACCAAGGCGACGAUCCGUAGCUGGUCUGAGAGGAUGAUCAGCCACACUGGAACUGAGACACGGUCCAGACUCCUACGGGAGGCAGCAGUAGGGAAUAUUGGACAAUGGGGGCAACCCUGAUCCAGCCAUGCCGCGUGAGUGAAGAAGGCCUUCGGUUGUAAGACUCUUCGGUCCGGACGGAAAUACGUAUGGGUUAAGUACCUCGUGCGGAGUGACGGUACCGGCGAUAAGAAGACACCGGCUAACUAACGUGCCGAGCAGCCGG
rnacentral:rRNA from 1 species